GACAUCCGAGUAGCUCUAAUGUGCCGGCCCAGGGCUGGCGGCUGGUGCAGGCGCAGGGGCCUCCGCCCGGAGGGGCCACCCAUACACUGGCCCAGCUCCUCCCGCAGGGGGCAUGCGCUGGCGUCCCUGAGCAGGAGCACCGGGUUUAAAAGCCGGACGGCCGGGGCGCAGAAGGGGGAAGGGAGCUCCGGUGAGACGGGGCAAGGACGAUCGUUCCGGACAGCGGCGGGGCGGAAGGACCGACGGCGGACCCAGGACGGGCAACCGACUGCUCCGUGAUCGGAGUGGGCUGGCCCCAGAGAGAAGACGGUGAGUGGCCGCUGGGCUAGUCCCGGGGAGAAGACAGAGGACACCUCCUCCCUGCCUGGGCUGGCUCAGGGAGAAACUGGUGGAAGGCCUGUGUGGUCCCUGCUGCAUCAGACCCAGGCAAUGCCAGAGGGGAUGAACUAUCAAUGAGCUGUUAAAAGGGUCCCUGGCUGUUGCCCAAGACACCUUUACAAUCUGGGAUUGACACUGGAGUGACUGACGGAGCUCAAGGAUCUGAAGACAUCACAAAUACCUUUGCGGUGAGAAAGUCAUCACUACAGACCUCAGUCAGGACUUUUUCCGAGCCAUGAGAAAACUCUUACAAUGCAUCAGCGCUGGGCCAUCGACACUACUGAGUGGGCCACAUGAGUGGCUCUCCUUCACCUCAGUGGGCCGCAAGAUUGAAAGUGAUGGGCAAGCUGCAAACUGUGGCCCAUUGGGGCUCCACAUGCAGCCUGUGCACCCCCUUUCUGCCCCCUUCCACCUACUCAUGUACUGCAGCAUUUAUCUACUCCUCCCCCUCCCUGCCAGCACUUUUGUAGCUGAUUCAUGCUUCGUCCCCACUUCUUCCCCUCUCUCCCAGAGCUUGAACUGCCAUAAAUCAGCUGAUUUGCGGCCUUCAAGCUCUGGGAGUGGGGGGAGAGGAGCGGGGAUGGAGCACGAAUCAGUCGAGAUUCUCGGUGCUCUGAAAGUGCUGAAAGGGAGGGGGAACAGUAAGUAAGUGGGGGGGUCCAUGCGGAACCCCAAUGGGGUGCAUGUAGCCCAUGGGCUGAAGGUUAAACCCAAAUUGAGCUCCAUAGUGUAUUGAAAAGAUGCACCUCAGCUAAUAAUUCAGCGCCUGCAAAUGCAGCGCCUCAACGACAACUGUGAGAGACCCAGGAAAUGCAGCAGUUGAGCGAUUGUGUGGAUACCUGCUGAAAGAAGGGGAUUUCCAAUUAUCCAUGGGUGAUUUUCUACAUGUACAUGUCCCUUUAUAUCAUAAAAUCAAUUAGAGACAGUCAUUUGUUCCUGAACACAUUGGUUGGAGAGAACGAUUAGUUCAGAGACAUUAAUUUCUGGACAAAUGUUUACCAUUAAAAUGUAAUUUUGAUUCCACUAAACUCCUGUGUCACCACGUUGUAACUCAGCCAAUUCUGGAGAAUAAAUGAACGACUUUAGAAGAUACAGUUCAGGGUGAAGCAUGAUGGGAAAUGACUCCCAGAUGGUUUGUUUUUAUUAGGUUUCGCCACGACCAAUAGGGACAACUGAGGGACAUAGAUCAGAUUAGUGCUACCAGCCUCAACGUUUGUCCCUCUUCAGAGCCAAGCUCUAAGGCAGGGCUGGGCAAGAUGAG